rnacentral:tRNA from 1 species
AUAGUGAUAGUUUAAGAAAAACGUUAAGUUGCAAGCUUUAUAUUGAGUAGUACUCUCACUUAU